AGUGAACGCUGGCGGCAGGCCUAAUACAUGCAAGUCGAACGGCAGCACGGCAGAGCUUGCUCUGUGGGUGGCGAGUGGCGGACGGGUGAGGAAUACAUGGGAAUCUGCCCAGUCGUGGGGGAUAACGUAGGGAAACUUACGCUAAUACCGCAUGCGCCCUUCGGGGGAAAGCCGGGGACCUUCGGGCCUGGCGCGAUUGGAUGAGCCCAUGUCGGAUUAGCUAGUUGGCGGGGUAAUGGCCCACCAAGGCGACGAUCCGUAGCUGGUCUGAGAGGAUGAUCAGCCACACUGGAACUGAGACACGGUCCAGACUCCUACGGGAGCAGCAGUAGGGAAUAUUGGACAAUGGGCGCAAGCCUGAUCCAGCCAUGCCGCGUGAGUGAAGAACGGCCCG
rnacentral:rRNA from 1 species